rnacentral:lncRNA from 1 species
CCACCCCAAAGCCUAAUUGCACUCCGCGCCCGGCAGGGCGAGUUUGCAGGCUUGCGGUAAGGAGCCUGCAGGAUGCACCUCGCUGUUAAAUAAGAACUGCCCUCGACAUAAGCAAUAUUGAAAUAAUUGCAGCUCAUCCAUGGCCAGAUGUUGACUAACAAGACCCUCCUGUUCCACAAGUCAUAACUGCAGGUGAGAAGGACAAGGGUAGAGGAGUCUUCAAACACCCCACAGCCAGCCAUCUUGGGUGAAUUACUGCAGUUUUCGAAAGGUGCCAGCAGGUUUCCUCCCGCAUAACAUUUGCAUUAUGUUGUACAUGCCACCGUCUUCAGAUGGCUAAUCCCUAUGAAAUUCAGUUAACAUGACAUUUUCUAGGAAACCUUUACAUCCUUUGCUGUGUUGGGUGCAACCUUGUCUGUCAUUCCGUUUUUGUACUCAUCACAUACUUAAUGGUAUCAACUGGUUCAGCAAUUGGACCCCUUCCUACUGUACUGAGAUUCUUGAGAGUCACUUUGAUAUGCACCCCAGACCCUCAGCAUACUGUCUAGAGCAGUAGUUUUCAAAACCUAAUGUGUAUCAGAAUCGUCUGGAGAAAUAGUUAAAACAGAAUCUCAAGCCCUACCUGCAGAGUCUCUGCUUCAGUAAGUCUGGGUGAGGCCCAAGGAUAUGUGCUUUUAACCAGUUCCCAAACAAUGUUGAUGCUAUUGGUCUGGAGAACAUACUUUGGGACUUCCUGGUCCAUAUCAUACUAGUCACUCAAAAAAUGUUCAUUAAAAGAUUUCAAGGAUUAUAAAUUACUUUUUAUUUUGAUUUGAAGCCAAAUUAAAGCAUUUUGUAAGUUAUCCAAAGUAAGGUAAAUACUCCAGGUCCUUGCUACUCAAAAUGGGGUCCUUGGGCUACUUGCACUGGCAUUACUAGGGACUCUGUUAGGAAUGGAGACUCUCUUGCCGCCUGGUGGACCUACUGACUCAGAAUCUCCAUUCUGAGAUUCUGAUCUCUCAAGAUCCUCAGCCUCACAUCAAAAUUUGAGAAGCACUGCUCAUGUGUGUGAGUGUGUGUGUGUGUGUGUGUAUGUUUAUGUGUGUUGUCAUUAUUAUUGCUUUGGAGUAGUUUUAACAGCAUCCAUAAAACUGGUUUUCACUAAUUAUUCCAUUCGUGGAUUUUCCAAGUCCUUUGUUCCCAAAUAAUAGUGGGUUUACUUUUCUUCUUGGUAAGUGCACAAAGAUUAAGCUUCAUAAAAGCUUUAACUUUAUAUUUGGUAUGUUGACUUAAUUUUAAUCAUUAUUUAGUGAUUCUUCUGUUAUGACACAAAAACACAGAAGGGUGAAAGGGUGAAAUGACUACUGAAGGAGUAAAUUAUUUCAGCAAAAAGAUAAAUAGCAGAGAAACAUGGGAAAUGAGUUAUACCUACAGAAUAGAAAUGCUUGAAUGUGGUAACAAUUCUACAGAAUUUAAUAUCUCUGUUAAGUUACAAAUUGCAAUUUCUUAGUAGCACCUGUAGACUUAAAGAUUAACUAGUAGUUUUAAUAAUAUAUUGACUUACAAGUUUUACUUUUAAAAGUAACAAAGAAAGCUAAAAAUGUUUUAAAAUAAAUAUAUUGCAAAUUGUGGUUCUAUUUUCCUUCUGACUUUUUCUUGUUUGUACUCUGCCUAAUUAGCAAUGUUUAGUAAAAUUAUAAUUAUUUCUAAUCAUAUGAAUAAUUAUAUAUUCUUGAAUUAAGAAUAUGUCUAAUAAGUAUUUGAGACUAUAUAUGAAUUUUAUAGUCUCUAAUGCCAGAUGUUCUAAAUGUGCAAGCAAAUGUUAUUCCUUUCUGAAUUAGAGUAAUUUAUUUUAAAUAAAGAAUGUUUAUAGCACAUAUGAAAUCUAGUCAUAGUUUUUAGUAGGUUAGCUUUAGGGAAAUUCUGUAAGAGAAGAAAUGCAUACAAAACCAGAAUUUAUUAUACUUAAUUUUUUUUUUUUUUGAGACAGGGUCUCACUCUGUCACCCAGGCUGGGG